AAAGAUUUGAAAUUUUCAAUGAAUUCCAGAAAAUCUUCUACGUAAUGUGGUAAUCAUACAGAAAAAAAAUCCUCUCUUUUUUGGGACAAGAGUUGGCUCCUUUGAACAACAUCAUAAAGGUUAGUAGGUCAUGGAAUGCUCCUGUUCUUAAGCUAACCUGCUUUGAUAACAUAUUAGUGCUCAUAACAGUGUUUUAUGCAAGGCACCCUUCUCUGAAGAUGAGAAGGAUGUUUUGAACUUUUUUCUUCUCUUUCAACUUUUCUUCUUUCCCUGACACUAGCCUCCACCAGCCCACUGCAAUUCUGAAUUGUUUCUCUCUGCGUAUCUGUAAAAUCUCCUUUCUUUCCUUCAUUCUGAAUAACCAUAAAUUCCAAGUAUGUGUUUUGCAUACUUCCUCUGCACAUUACCCUUGUGUGUGGUUUUUUUUUUUAAAGAAUUGAAUUAAAAAUUUUUCUCAGUUCAUCUAUAAACUUGAAAGCAAUCUAGUUAAAAUUAAAUGAGAGAUACUUGGCCCUCAGCAUCCUGGUUUAGGGAAGACAGGGUGGAGUGCUCAGAAUGUUAUUUAAAUUGAAGUCUGAGAUAAGAUCAUUUUCUAUGGUCUCCAAGGCACAGAUGGAAGCACAGUCACAUAUUGAAAACCUUUCCUAGGGCUGUGACCUUGAAUGUCUCUUCAAAAAAUGAAACAACUAAUUUAAAAAUGAAAUGCAAAUGUGAUUUGUGAUUUUUGUGCCAUAUAUCCAUGCAUCGUUCAGAAAAAAAUCUCAUUUAAUUGAACUCAACUUUUUGUAAUGAAAAUAAACAGGUAUAAAUAUAGGCAUAGCUUUUGAAUACACUAAGUUCUUUUAAAGUGCGUUGUUGGAGUGUACAGAUCCUAAGGGUAACAUAGGGAAGAACAGAGAAGUUCUCACUUAAAACACUCACUUAAAAUCAACAAACAAAUGAAAAAACAAACAGGAAAGAGCCCUACUUAAAAUACAAUAGAUCCAAACAAAUUCAUUUUAAAGUAGCUUUCAUAGGAAGGAGGCCAGAUGUUUAUCACUUAUUUGCCAGCUUCAAAGGCAGGACUUGCAGCUUCAGCCUGGCUCAGCUGAGGUCCUGUGUAUGAGGAAAUGGGCAUGAUUGUUCAUUGCAAGGCUCAGUGGCAACUGAAGUCUUAAAGGUACACGUUUAUAACGUUCAGAGCACUUUCAGGUGUCAGUUGGCACCCCCAGCUAGAACAAAUUCAGCAAAGAAGCCCCAGCUAGUCUGUAGUCAUACUAACUACAAAAUAAACAAUUAAUAUCAGAGUGUAUAUAGUCACAUAUUCAAGAAGGAACUUUAAUCCUGUGAAAUCCCUUAUUAUGCUGCUCUCAAGCAUGGUUUGGGGUGACAGGUGCCAUAAGUCAGCCUCUUGACUAACAGUAAAGGAUUGUAAGAAGAGAAUGAACAGAACAAGCUUAGAAAGAACUGUAGAGGCAAAGGAACGGUGGGUGGUGUCAGAGAGACAGCUGUAGGGAAACCCUCUUGAAAUGUGAAACUUUCAAGCUAUUCUCAUAAUUGAGAAAGCAUAGAGAAUACUAUAGUAUACUUUAAAAAGAAAUCUAUUGCCAUAAAAUUGUGAGUGAUACCACACAUUUACUAUUGAAAUAGAUAUCUCUCAGUGUGGAUGUAUCAUACCUUUCAUUUUGCAAGAUUACAAGAAAAAGGGAAAAUGAAGUAUACUGAUACAUCAUCACCUGUACAGCAUUCGUGUUUAAAAGUUUGUAAAAUAAAGUUAAACAUAGCACUUUAGACAAUUUAAGGUGAAGCUUAUCCUUUUUCUCUGUGAAAUCAUAUCCAAAACGUGCCAAAAUAUAUGGGAAACCAUAUAGGAAUGAGGCAAAUUGUUUUCCUAUAUUUCUUUCUAGUAACUAAUAUACAUACCACUUAAUGGCAGUUAAUGUAGCAGAGAAAACAAAACACUCAGCACUUGAAUAUUAAAACUCUCCAAGCCUCAGGGUUCUCAUCUAAAAGUUAGAAUAAUAAGCCAGCUUCAUAAAGAUCCUAUGAGGCUUAAAAGAGAUAACAGAUAUAAAGUUAAAGUGUUUGGUGCAGUUAUUAGCACAUUCCAAGUGACCAGUAAAUGAGAAAUGCUAUUAUUAUGUGAGAGCAUGUUAGAUUUUAAAUUUCAACUUAGAUGUCAAAUUAUAAUAGAUAAAAAUCCCAUAGGGAAGUACCAGAUUGAAACACACGUUUUCAAAGGAUAUAAAGGAAUACUCCUUGGACAGCUCUAAAAUUCACAAGGAGAAGAUAAAAGGGCCAAGGAAAGGGAGAUUUGUGAAGAGAUUUUUUUUUGGAUAUAGUCCUGAAGUGCUUUGAGUCUCACUCACUCCUCCUUAAGGGAUAGGCCGAGAUGCUCACUUCUAAUUUCAACCCUUGCAUGCACUAAACUCAAGAAGGCAAGUCUAAGAGCUUGGUAUGUACCCGAAGAAAUUUGGGAGUACUUUGGUUGGGUUGUCCGACACAUGUAUGAAGUAUCUAAUGGCUGACAGCCUAAAGCCACAGUGUACAGAGAGCUACUGCUGUCUCCGGAAGCCAGUGACCAACCUGCUCAUGGUGGAUAAAGAUGCAACAUCUCCAGGAAUCAGUUGUGCAGUACCCAGUAGGAAUAUAGGUAUGUAUUAGAAGGGAUCUUAUCCAAAAUGGCCUCUACCAGAGUGUGCAGGGUCCCCCAUAGCAAGUCUGUGAUAGGUGGAUCUAGAGAAAACCUGAAGGGUAAGAGGAGUCCAUCAGGGGAAUUUCUUGAGACUCUACUAAAAUGCCUGCAAGAGAAAAACUCAGCCUUAAAUACUAGCCAUUCCCACAGUUGUAAAAUGCUGUCAUGAUAAGAGUGAAGUGGGAACUUUAGAUAUCCAUUCCCUCCUCCUUUUCUCUGUUCCACUUCCAAGGAGCCAGAAACCAUGCAUAUCAGUUAGAAUAGGUGAGUUUUUGUUGCGUUAACAAACAAAUCCUAAUCUCAUUGGCCUAAAACAAAAAGUUUAAUUUCUCACUUAUGUCACAUGCUCUUUGCAAGGCAAAAGUCACCCUUAAUGUAGUCACUUGGGGACCCAGAUUGAUGAAGCUCUAUCUUCACGAAUAUUGCAAAUUAUACUUAAAAGAGACUCAGGAAGACGUCACAUCCUCUCCAGAACAAGAUUGGCAACACUUUCACUCGUGAUUUGUCUGAGACUAGAUUGGACGGCUCGCCUAAAUCACAACAUGCCAAGAAGAGCAAUACUACUUCAUGUAUUGAAGAUCGAGCAGGAAAAAUUCUUGAUCAACAUCACUAACAACUACCAUAACCUGCCCUUCUAGCUAAAAGUGAAAAUUUGUAUAUUCUUUCAUUCACAGUCACAAUAUACCACCUCCUUCUGAACAGAUACCAUCUCAAAGUCUUACCCGUUUCUGGCAUGUAACUUUAAAUUUAGGAUUCCUGGGUGAUGACUAAUAGUCUGUGCAUCAGAUUUGAUGUGUUUUCUCUUGACUUGGAGGUGAAUGAAGACAGGUUUUCAGUUAUCCACACAACCAAAAUACAACAGUGGAAUGGGGACAGAAUAACCACGUAAACAAUCACAUUUGGAAAGUUCUGAUCUACAGCAAAUUUAAAAACAGAUGUUUUAAAGGCUCCCCAUCCUGAUGUUGGGGAAUGGCUUAGGGUCUGAUUUUGUUCCCCUGCCUCCCUACCAAGUACCAAGUACCUCUCUUGUUCUCUGUGGCCCCUAGUAGAACCUCUCUCUAUUCCUUUUCCAGUAACCUCUGCCAACAUCUGAAAUAUGCAUUGGACAAUACAUUCUUCUUGGAGUUAAGAAGAUUUCUCAGCAUGGUGGGGGACACAGGUCAUUUUAAGUCUUGAAUAUUCACAGUUUCUUUUAGAUCAAACUGAUUGUUCUUUUGGCAGUAGCACUCUCUAAAUGACUUAGGAAACUUCUAGUGAUGAGAAUCUAUUCCAUGUGACUCCAGUCAUCUCUAUGUUGCAGCAGUCACAUCUUCCGUUCUAUUCUAGAUAUAUCUCUCUUAGAUUUGCUGCAUUUCUAGCUUUCUCCCACCCCUGAUUCUUCCUGUCUCCAGAAUUAAUUCCAGAUACUUUGAACUUUUCAUACAUCUGUGGGAAAUCCACAUCAUUGGUCUCAUAUCCUUGAACCAUCUUGUCCAAUUCAAAGUAAUUGGACACCACAGUUUUAACUGAAUAUUUUCGCUAAGACUAAUUAAACUUUAUUUGGAGAUUUUAAUAAUGCUUGUGACGACUAUGCUCUUGAUUUGAUUCUCGCUACAAGGCUAAAUUUGAAUCAACAUUUACUGCUCAAAGGCUUUCUUAGUUUAAUUUUCUUACUAGUAGGUGAUGAAAAGCAGAUGCAUCUUUCAACCCUGAAAGUUCCCAAAUUUCAGGCCUCUCUUAAUACCUUUUCAUUCCUGUUGAAAAACCAGCUAAUUCUUUCCUGACAAAUAUCGUCCUUAUAGUAACUUGCCAAACCCAGCCAUCAGCAACCAACACACAUCAAUAAUGUUCUGUUUUUCAACCUCUCUCAUUCAAGUUACAAAUUUGUUAAGUAAAUAAGUUUCUAGUUAUCAGUAACUUAAUUGCCAUUUCCAAAGUCCAAUAUCAGUUUCUCCAUUGCUUGCCACCUAGCCCCUAGCCCGGCACCACAUGCUUUAGAUGUGUGUGUGUGGAUGUGUGUGUUUCGUUAUCGCAGCACUCUAUUUCCAGUCAGAGAGGUUAGGUUAUCCUGGUGUAACAGUAACUGCAAAAUCUCGCUGGUGUAGAAGAACAGUUUACUUCUUGCCAUAUUUACAUUUUCCUUAUUAGUUAGUGAGAUGAGAGGGUGGGAACAGAGUGUCUUCUCAGAAGAGACCCAGAGGAAUCACUGUCUUGACUGUAGUUGCUCAUUGUAUCCAAAGGAAAGAGAGAUUUGCAUCAAUCAUUAAAUCAUGUAAAUAACUCAUGCCCCAUUCCCACUUGCAACUUAUUGACCAGAACUAUUGAUAGUUUCACCUGGCUACACAGGGACUAAGAGUGCAAUUCCACCAUGUGCAUCCAGGUGGAAAGAAAUACUGGAAAACAGCACUAAUGACUAAGGUGACAAGGUUGUCAGCAGACUUGGGGAAAAGAGAGAUCCUGCUAUCCACCUACCAAGCAACAAGUAGCCUGCUGGAAGUUGGCCCUACCUGGGGAAGGAAGGAAGAUUUAACUGUAAAUCGUGUUCAGAGUUUUGGUUGCAGAAUUAUUUGUUCAUCUUAAGUCUCAGUUGUGAUUGUUUUGUGGCACUGGGUGACAUAGGACUAUUUAUUAUCUAAUACAAGAAAAUCAUGGGUCUUUCUAGGGCUUUCAUCCAAUGGCUCCACUGGAUAAAUUUUAAAGUGACAGUGGGAGACAUAAACAAAUUUACAUUUUGAUUACAAGAGUUGUGUCUGUUGAACAUAUCAGUUGCCAUUGCUGUGACGAAUUCCACCAUCAUCAGCAGCUGUACUAAUGUUUAUGAAUGAUUUGGAUUGAUAAGCAUAUUGGGUUAAUCUUUCCUAACUGUCAUCUGUCAAUAUUCCAUAGACAAUAAGGAAAAUUUCCCCCAGAAUGUCUUUGUAUAGCAAAACUCUUGCCUAUCUCUUUGAAAGUACUAUAAAACAGUUCAUUUUAAAAUUUUCUCCCCUCAACAGUCUGUCUCAGUUAGGGUCCUUUGGUUGCAUCACUAUGAGGCGACUCUGGCUAAAUGAAAGAAACGCGAACUUACUGAGUGGACAUGAGGUAGCUCACAGAGUUCAAGGGAGGGCUAUGGAAUGAGAUUCAAAAUAAGAAAAAGAAGCUUUAAAGUCUCAAGGACAUUAAUUACUAGGCAAUUUCAGCAUUGUUAGGAUGGAUAAACAAAUUCCAAGUAUUUUUCUUGCUUUUGUCACUCUCCUCAUGGUUCAAAUUCUGAGGGAGAGGGUUGCUUGGCUAAGCGUAGUUAGAUUACUUACUCAUUCUUUACUGUAUCUCAAAAGUGGAAAGAAUGAUCUAGUUUCGAUAGAAGAAGCUUCUUGAUUUGUUUUUUUUUCUUCUCUUAGGGGCAGAGCACCAUAUUUUCCUAUUCCUCCAGAUUUUUCAGAAUGGGAUAGAAAUAUUCUUCGUCCCCAAAAUAAAGGGUACCAUUAGGAUCAGUGACAGUGGUUGCUUGGUAACCAAAAAACAAAAUAAAAAUGCAUAUAACCAGUUUGCUUUUGUUAUAUGAAGAUAGAGUGCUUGAGGAGCAUAAUUUUAAUAAACAUUUUUUUUCUUAAUGAUAAAGGCAGCUUUUUAAGGAAAAUAUUUGGGGAAGAAGUUUUGGGCUAAUAUCACUUUUCCUACAUCAAUAAUCUAUAAGCAAUAAGGUGCAAAAAGGGCAUGUUUGAAAAAUGAUAAAAUUAGCUCAUCCAGAUCUCUUGAUUUUUGGCCCUUUGUUAUUAUACUCUGCAUUGAAAACCAAAGUGAGUAGCAGCUAAAAGUUUCAGGGCUCAGCAAAGCCGUGUCUUUGGCAAAAUUUCUUUUUCUGUCCCCAGAUUUAGUCAUCCUCUCAAUGGCUGAUAACCUGAAGUAAUUUUCUCAAUGCAAAUGAACUGAUUAAUUUGAACCUUUCCCUGACACUGACUAUUAAUUCUUAUGGAGGCCAGGCCCCGAGGUUGGCGGUGUGAUGGUAGUGGAGGGGGUGAAUUAUGACCAUGCUGAUUUCUUGGAGCCUCCUACAACAUGGUGAAGGAUUAUACAAAGGCUUGUCAUUACAAAUAAGCUAGUACAAAACAAAGAUGUAAUAUUCAUUAGAGCCAUAAUGUGAGUAUUAUAGCUAAUAUGGUAGUAUAGGGGAAGUUCCAGAAGAGGAAGGAAAACUAUGUUUUCUGUUUGCAUGAAAGACAGCAGGAGUAAGUUACUUUGACAUGCAUUGUGUGUUCAUGUUUUCUGUGCAUUUUCUAUUUCUGUGCAUACAAAAUUAAACCUUUGACUGGAUAGCAGUUGGCAAUGGUUCAUUUUUAUUCACCACUGUCCAUAACUGGAUUGAAUAAUUACAAUCUGUCCUACCAUCUGAGACUCUCCCUGACAUUUGGCUGCCUCUGCCCUGCUGCUCAUUUAUGCUUAAGUUUGUACCUGCUCAUUAACUGAUUUGUCCUAAAAAUAACUUUGAAAGUCUCAGAUCCUGUGCUGUUAGCAGUUAGCCUACAUAGCUAAGGUCAUAAAUUCAGCCUCUGGCUGGAGUGCAAAAAGCUGACUCUGCUCUCAUUUUUAAGGCUAAUGUAUAUUUGAAGGAAUGUAUAUUUGAAACUGCUUCUAAUUAGCUCUAAAAACUAUAAAACACUGAAGGCUAUCAUGAAGGAUGUGUCGUCUUGUACCGUGGUGUUUGUUACUUCAUUCCAGACUUCAGAAUUCAAUUAUGGCAUCUCUCUUAGACGUGCAGUGAAAACUGCCGUCUCUUAUCUUUCCCACAAAACCUUAAGCCAAAACACUACACAGUUUUGUGGUUAAAUAAUUCCAAGCAGAAGUUUUGCACUGAUCAAUAGAAAUAAACAUAUCAAUCUGCUUCACAUUGUUCUCAUUCUAGAUAUUUCAGGAUCACUGCAGUUUGGAGUGCUAGAACUUACUUGGUAACAUUUGCAUUUCAUCUUUGAGUUAAAUAUGCACAAGUUUGGCUAAAGUAAUUCUUCACUCUCCUAACAAAAGGCAUUCUACAAAUAAUUCCAUGUUAUGUAAAGAUUCUAAGAAACGAUUCUUGUUUCCAGGAUUCCAUGUGAGGACAUAUGGGUAAUUUGUCCUGUGAGGCUGAGGAAAAACAAUUUAAUUUACAUUUUGAUGCAAAUUAAUUAGGUAUUUGAUGCAACGAAUAAAAUGAAAAUAGGCUGAUUAGUAAAAUCAAACCUUGUGGUGGG
rnacentral:lncRNA from 1 species